rnacentral:tRNA from 1 species
GCAUUGGUGGUUCAGUGGUAGAAUUCUCACCUCCCAUGCUGGAGACCCAGGUUCAAUUUCCAGCCAAUGUA